UACAGAGGUGCCGAGCGUUAGGCGGAAUCACUGGGCUUAAAGCGUGUGUAGGCGGGUCGUUAAGUGCCUUGUGAAAUCCCACAGCUCACCUGUGGAACUGCUUGGCAUACUGGCGGUCUUGAGCCACUUAGGGGCAACCGGAACAAACGGUGGAGCGGUGAAAUGCGUAGAUAUCGUUUGGAACGCCAAUGGUGAAAACAGGUUGCUGGGAGUGCGCUGACGCUGAGACACGAAAGCCAGGGGAGCGAACGGG
rnacentral:rRNA from 1 species